CUGGGUGUCUCAAGCGACGGGGUCACACCCGAUCCCAUUCCGAACUCGGAAGUUAAGCCCGUCCGCGCUGAUGGUACUCCUUUCGGGGGAGAGUAGGCCGGUGCCCAGU
rnacentral:rRNA from 1 species